AGUGAACGCUGGCGGCAGGCCUAAUACAUGCAAGUCGAACGGCAGCACAGCAGAGCUUGCUCUGUGGGUGGCGAGUGGCGGACGGGUGAGGAAUACAUGGGAAUCUGCCCAGUCGUGGGGGAUAACGUAGGGAAACUUACGCUAAUACCGCAUGCGCCCUUCGGGGGAAAGCCGGGGACCUUCGGGCCUGGCGCGAUUGGAUGAGCCCAUGUCGGAUUGGCUAGUUGGCGGGGUAAUGGCCCCGCAAGGCGACGAUACGUAGCUGGUCUGAGAGGAUGAUCAGCCACACUGGAACUGGGACAACGUCCCGAUUCCUACGCGAGGCAGCAGUAGGGAAUAUUGGACAAUGGGCGCAAGCCUGAUCCAGCCAUGCCGCGUAAGUGAAGAAGGCCCUCGGGUUGUAAAGCUCUUUUGUCCGGAAAGAAAAGCAUCCAGUUAAUACCUGGGAGUCCUGACGGUACCGGAAGAAUAAGCACCGGCUAACUUCGUGCCAGCCGCCGCGGUAAGAC
rnacentral:rRNA from 1 species